rnacentral:rRNA from 1 species
AGAAUCAACGCUGGCGGCGUGCCUAACACAUGCAAGUCGAACGAGAAAGGGACUUCGGUCCUGAGUACAGUGGCGCACGGGUGAGUAACACGUGACUAACCUACCCUGGAGUGGGGAAUAACUGAGGGAAACCUUAGCUAAUACCGCAUAAUACCUACGGGUCAAAGGAGCAAUUCGCUUCAGGAGGGGGUCGCGGCCGAUUAGCUAGUUGGCGGGGUAAUGGCCCACCAAGGCAAUGAUCGGUAU